GGGAUUAGCUAGUAGGUGAGGUAAUGGCUCACCUAGGCGACGAUCCCUAGCUGGUCUGAGAGGAUGACCAGCCACACUGGAACUGAGACACGGUCCAGACUCCUACGGGAGGCAGCAGUGGGGAAUAUUGCACAAUGGGCGCAAGCCUGAUGCAGCCAUGCCGCGUGUGUGAAGAAGGCCUUAGGGUUGUAAAGCACUUUCAGCGAGGAGGAAGGGUUCAGUGUUAAUAGCACUGUGCAUUGACGUUACUCGCAGAAGAAGCACCGGCUAACUCCGUGCCAGCAGCCGCGGUAAUACGGAGGGUGCAAGCGUUAAUCGGAAUUACUGGGCGUAAAGCGCACGCAGGCGGUUUGUUAAGUCAGAUGUGAAAUCCCCGAGCUUAACUUGGGAACUGCAUUUGAAACUGGCAAGCUA
rnacentral:rRNA from 4 species